rnacentral:rRNA from 1 species
AACGAACGCUGGCGGCAUGCCUAACACAUGCAAGUCGAACGAGACCUUCGGGUCUAGUGGCGCACGGGUGCGUAACGCGUGGGAACCUGCCCUUAGGUUCGGAAUAACUCCCCGAAAGGGGUGCUAAUACCGGAUAAUGUCUUCGGACCAAAGAUUUAUCGCCUUUGGAUGGGCCCGCGUUGGAUUAGCUAGUUGGUAGGGUAAAAGCCUACCAAGGCGACGAUCCAUAGCUGGUCUGAGAGGAUGAUCAGCCACACUGGGACUGAGACACGGCCCAGACUCCUACGGGAGGCAGCAGUGGGGAAUAUUGGACAAUGGGCGAAAGCCUGAUCCAGCAAUGCCGCGGGAGUGAUGAAGGCCUUAGGGUUGUAAAGCUCUUUUACCCGGGAUGAUAAUGACAGUACCGGGAGAAUAAGCUCCGGCUAACUACGUG